AGUCCGGAUUCGGUUUUCCUUUUUUAGAUGUUAUGACGCAGACGACAAGGACGCUGGGUGCGAUUGUUCAUGAGAAAUGUUGUACCUGGAGAGACGGACAUUUGAAUUAAAAUGGAAAAAGAUAUGCAAACCAAGCAGAGGGGGAUUAUUUUCCGAGAAGAGAGUCGCUUUUCAGCUUUGAAAAUGGGAACGACUUGUCAAACGUUCCACGCAACAAGAGGCAGAUUCAGAUAACUUAGCUAUUUUGUGCCAAUCAUUUUUCCAACAACUGAAUAUAAAUUGCUGCUGUAGAAAAUUUUCGAAGGAUAGGAUUAUUGAUUAUGAACAACAGGAUUAUAUCAUCAUGACCAAGGAAUUCUUCAAGGAGAAGUGCAAGUAAAGGAACGAAUUCAUGAGCAAAAAUUAUAAUAUUGUAAACAGGAGAACAGUUAAAAUAAUACUAACAGUUCAACAGUUUCGUGAGACAAAGAGCAAGACAGAGUAAACUUGGAGUGUAUAUAUAUAUGUCAACCACAAGUACAUUUAAAUACCACAUAAUGCUAAUGAAAUAAGAACUAUGGUACACACUUUUUGUAUGAUUAUGAAUUUCAGGGUUUAAAAAAAAUGUAGUUUUUAAAUAAAUAGAAUUAAAAUAACCAA